rnacentral:misc_RNA from 1 species
UUUCCGUAGGUGAACCUGCGGAAGGAUCAUUAUUGGAUUUUGAAACUUCAGGCUGCUGCUGGCUCUCCUCGGAGGGCAUGUGCACGCUUGUUGUCCAUUAUUUCUCCCUCUGUGCACAAAUUGUAGACCUUUCAGUAAGCCUAUGUUGUUUUUCACAAUCUCUGAAUGUAAUAGAAUGGUUUUGAAUCUUGGGAAAUACAAUACAACUUUCAGCAACGGAUCUCUUGGCUCUC